CAGGAUGAAGAUUGUUCCACAGCGAUGUCUUCAAAUAGUACUUCUCAUUCUCUUGACGAUAAGGCUGUGUGAGAACAUUCAUAUUAACCCCAUAGUGGGUAUCAGUAUCUUCAACAAAGUCAUACCAGUCGCGCAUUGCAGACUCAAAAUCAUCCAUCUUUUGGUCUCCUAACCCAGUUCGGAUGGGUGCUAACCACAUGCGAGCAUGACUAGG
rnacentral:misc_RNA from 1 species